rnacentral:misc_RNA from 1 species
GUGAAUCAUCGAAUUUUUGAACGCAAAUUGCACUCUUUGGUUUUCCGGGAGAGUAUGCUUGUUUGAGGGCAUGUUUAAAAAAUAAUCGAGGCUGCUGCUGUGGUGGCGCCUCGGAAUUGGGUCAUCUUAAACCUUUCGGGGUGGUAAGCGACCUAAAAUUUUUCUUACGUUUUCUACGAACGUGUUUAAGAAUUUUGAUCGUACGUUCGUGACAUCGAAAU